rnacentral:rRNA from 1 species
UACGUAGGGGGCAAGCGUUGUCCGGAUUUAUUGGGCGUAAAGAGCGUGUAGGCGGCCUGACAGGUCUGCUGUGAAAACUCGAGGCUCAACCUCGAGAUGUCGGCGGAAACCGUCUGGCUAGAGUCCGGAAGAGGAGAGUGGAAUCCUGGUGUAGCGGUGAAAUGCGCAGAUAUCAGGAAGAACACUAUGGCGAAGGCAGCUCUCUGGACGGUACUGAGGCUGAGACGCGAAAGCGUGGGGAGCGAACAGGAUUAGACUACCCCUGU